GACAGAGGGUGCAAACGUUGCUCGGAAUUACUGGGCGUAAAGCGUGUGUAGGCGGGACGAUAAGUCAGGUGUGAAAUCCCUAGGCUCAACCUAGGAACUGCAUUUGAAACUGUCGGCCUUGAGUGAUGGAGAGGAUGGCGGAAUUCCUGGUGUAGAGGUGAAAUUCGUAGAUAUCAGGAGGAACACCGGUGGCGAAGGCGGCCAUCUGGAAAUCUACUGACGCUGAGACGCGAAAGCGUGGGGAGCAAACAGG
rnacentral:rRNA from 1 species